GAAAAGAAACCAACAGGAAUUCCCCUAGUAACGGCGAGUGAAGCGGGAAAAGCUCAAAUUUAAAAUCGUGUAGGGGAGACCCUGUCACGAAUUGUAGUUUGAUGAGGUGAACUUGGUGGCAGCCUGGGUCUAAAUCUCUUGGAAAAGGGUAUCAUAGAGGGUGACAAUCCCGUCUAUGGCUCAGUCUGCUGUCCACCGUGUAAGUCGCCUUCAAAGAGUCGGGUUGUUUGGGAAUGCAGCCCUAAGCGGGUGGUAAAUUCCAUCUAAAGCUAAAUAUUCGUGAGAGACCGAUAGCGAACAAGUACCGUGAGGGAAAGUUGAAAAGCACUCUGGAGAGAGAGUCAAACAGUACGUGAAAUUGUUAACAGGGAAACGUUAGGCACCAGUACGCGCCUCACGUAGAAUCAUCCAUCGACCAAGGGUUUGCCCGGGUGUAGUGAGUCUAACCAACCACUACCCUGGGCGUACCCGAGGGAGGCGGUGCUCUUUUGCGUGGGCGGGUCAACAUCAGUUAGGAUCGUUGUAAACGGCUUGAGGGAAGGUAGACAUGGACUUCGGUCCGUGUAACUUAUAGCCCUCAUGUCCUACGAUGGUCUUGACUGUGGAGUCGCAAUCCGUGCUUCCCUUGUGGAGGCAGGCCCCAUUGUUCAUCACUCUUCUCUCGGCCUUGGCAGCUUGCUGACUGGGUUGGGGUAAGGAGGGUGAUGGUGCGGCGUAAGGCUCUAACGGGUACGGACGUGCGAACC
rnacentral:rRNA from 1 species